GCGGGGUUAGUACAAUGGUAAUAUGCGUGCUUCCCAAGCAUGAGACACGAGUUCGAUUCUCGUACCCCGCU
rfam:Candidatus Magasanikbacteria bacterium RIFCSPHIGHO2_02_FTLL_50_9b rifcsphigho2_02_scaffold_7495, whole genome shotgun sequence.